UCAACCGCUCCGGUGGCCUAGUGGUUAGAGCGUCCGCCUCGGAUGCAGGAGGUCGUGAGUUCGAUCAACGGUUGAG